CUUUAAUAAUAAAGUUUUGAACAUUAGGCAGAAUAUUUCCAGAUCCAAUAACGACCUCAUACAAUAGCACUCCAGUACCUCUGUACUAUGGCUCACUUUGAGCUUUUAAAUGAUAAAGCAGUAGAUAACUUGAUUAAACAACUAAAAUCGUCCACUUGCAGCCUGGAUCCUAUUCCAACAAUCUUUUUAAAAAAUAUUUUCCACUGUGUCAAAUCUGAUGUUUUGGAAAUCAUUAAGUUGCCUCUUCAAUCAGGAUUUUUUUCCUAGUGCGCUAAAAAUAGCUGUCAUUGAACCCUUGUUAAAAAAGAGUGGCCUUGAUCCAACUGCAUUCUCCAAUUAUCGACCGAUUUCAAAUUUACCGUUUCUUAAUAAACUACUUGAGAAAGCAGUUUUUACUCAGACCAGCCAUUACCUUAUAUCAAACAACAGCUUUGAUACUUACCAGUCUGGUUUUCGCAGUAACCACGGCACAGAGAAAGCUCUCAUUAAGGUUGCUAAUGACCUACACAUAAACACGGACUCUUGGAAAGUUACUGUCCUUGUACUUCUGGACCUUAGUGCUGCAUUUGAUACAGUUGACCAUGAUAUUCUGUUAGACAGGAUAGAACACUGGGUUGGCUUCUCCAAUCCAGUUCUUAGAUGGUUCCAAACAUACCUUAGAGACAGGCAACUGGUGGUUACUUGUGGUGUACCUCAAGGUUCGAUUCUUGGUGAGAAUUACUUACAAUUAAAUCAAGAUAAGACAGAAAUUCCGGUAUUUGGUCCAAACGCACAGAGACAGACAGUUGUAGAUCUUCUCGCCUCUCUGUCUCUUUAAAAAUGAAGCACGUAACUUGGGUGUAUUAUUAGAUAAUGACCUGAAUUUUAAAUAACACAUUUAUCACAUAACUAAAACAGCUUUCUUUCAUUUAUGUAACAUUUCUAAAAUUAAACAUUUUCUGUCAAAAACUGACCUUGAAAAGUUAAUCCAUGCAUUCAUAACCAGCAGGCUGGAUUAUUGUAAUGGUCUCUCAGUUGGCCUCCCCUAUGGAACUAGGAUUGGGACAAUAUUCAGCGUAACUUGUACCAAGUUUUGUAACUGCAAACAUGUUUCAUCACAUGUAACUUUGGAUUCGUAACUUGUAACCUUGGAUUCGUAACUUGUAACUUUGGAUCCGUAACUUGUAACUUUGGAUUCGUAACUUGUAAUUCUCAAUUCGUACUUGUAUUCUUGUUUUGUAACAGGAACAUUGUAUUUUGUACAUGUAUUUUUGAUUUUGUAACAGCAAACAUUCAUUCAGAAACAUGAAACUUUUGUUUUGUAACUAGCAGACUUCCAAAUUGAAAAAAUCAAAGUACAAGUUUCAAAUCAAAACUCACAAAACACACAUUUCAUUCUACAGGUACAAACCUCACAUCCUACAAUGUUACGGAUCAUUUUGUCUCGAUUCUAGCGCCAGUGGGAGGAACUUGGGUGGAACCAAUGAGAGCACGACUCUUAACUACCAAUCACGUUUCUCGAAUUCCUGUCCAAUCACUGGGAGAGGAGGGCAGGGUUUUGUCAGAGCCGUAAAGAGUUACGACACUCCAAGACUCCUAUGGAAUGGGGAAGUCACGUGGUUCAUGUAGCGUCGAAUAGUUCCAAACAGCCCCGCUGCUGCAUUGACUGCAGUUCAUUUCAACUAUUCGGUGUUUCGGAAGGAUUUUCUCCGAACAAGGCUAUCCCAGCAUGCUUUGCGCGCCGGCUGUGGAUUUUCAACAGGCAGAGAAAGGGGAGAGCUAUGAAGUUUUAAACGACUGCAGGUGUCCAGGGUCAGAAGAGGCUUUACCUGUCCUGGGAGAGAGGCCUACUGUCAUCAUGUUGAUGUUAUUUAGCUGUUUGGUAUUUGAACACAUUUUUGAACAUAUUUGAACACACUUUUCCAGCUGAAUAUUGUCCCAAUCCUAGUUCCAUACUCCCUCAGUAUGCUACUUACAGAUUGCAGCUGAUUCAGAAUGUACUCCUGUUUUAAGAUCUCUGCACUGGUUACCACUUGAAAAAAGAAUUGAAUUUAAAAUUCUACUGCUUGUAUAUAAAGCUCUCAAUGGCCUUGCACCACAAUAUAUUACUGGCAUGCUGGUACCUUAUAGACCAGUCAGACCACUCCGGUCUGCAGAUCAUGGUAAUCUUGUUA